rnacentral:rRNA from 1 species
AUGAACGCUAGUAGUAUGCUUUACACAUGCGAGUUGAACGAAAAAAAUUUCGUAGCGAACGGGUGAGUAAUACGUGGGAAUCUACCUUUUAGAUUGGAACAAGUAUAUUCAUUUAUUGAAGAAGAUUUAUCGUAUAAAUUCCAAAUAACCAAAGAUUUAAUUCGCUAAAAGAUGAGCCUGCGUAAGAUUAGGUAGUUGGUAGGGUAUAAGCCUACCAAGCCUACAAUCUUUAGCUGGUCUGAGAGGACGAUCAGCCACACUGGAACUGAGACAAGGUCCAGGCUCUAUUGUGAGCCAGCAGUGAGGAAUAUUGGACAAUGGACGAAAGUUUGAUCCAGCAAUACUACAUGAAUGAUGACAGCUGAUUUGGUUGUAAAGUUUUUUCGUUGAGGAUGAUAAUGACCGUACUCAAAGAAGCAGUCCCGGCUAAUCUCGU